AAGUCGUAACAAGGUUUCCGUAGGUGAACCUGCGGAAGGAUCAUUACCGAGUUCUCCUGCUCUGCAGGAACUCCCACCCCUUGGUAUCUCAUAGUCGAUUGCCGUUUCGGCCUCGGCAGAAGACCGGCCUUGGGGAAAAACCAAGGCCCAAUUUGACCUCUCACGUCGAUGCGUGCUCGCCGGAGUUUCAUACUCUACAUUAUGUGUCGUCAGAGAAUCAAAAAUCUAAAAAA
rnacentral:misc_RNA from 1 species